CGACGAUUCGAAAUGAAACGAAGAAAUGAGAAGAAGCGAAGGUCCCCGGAGAGGUGAAUGAGGAUUUUACCACUAUGGACAUUUGAACAGUAUGCAGAAGAAGACGGAUCUGGAACUAGAAAGCAAGGCUCUGACUGGUCUACUACAGCAAGGAAUGUGCCAGCGGCCAAUCUGAUGAACAUGUGACAGAAGAUUUGGCAAUGGGUGAAGAAAUACUGAGAUUGAAAUGCAACCACAGGUGGAGGCUUCAACCAAACUUUUCAGACAGACAUGAGAUACAAAGUUACACAAGUAUAAAUGGUUGAAGGUUUAGGAGAGCCAGACAAGAAGGCAGGAAAUGUGAUGUCACUUUUACUUCAAUGAACAUGGACAGCAGCAGGAGCAACAACAGCAUCAGCAGCUGAAACUACAACUGCAGUAAGAGAUGCAACAACCACAGUGGUAAACAUCAACAGCAGUAGCAACAACGACAGUAGAAACAAAGCCAACAGCAAGGAUUCUAACAAGCAAUCAUACAAGCAACAACACAAGCGACAACAUCAAUAGAUGCAUCAGGAGAUGCAACAGCCACACUCGUAAACAGCAGCAGUAGCAGCGAUGACAACAGCAACCACACAGGCAACACCUUGAGCAACAUCAGUAGCAAAAAUAACUAAUUGCACCAGGAGAUGCAACAACCACACCCACAACACCAAGAGCAGCAAAAACAAACAGCAAUUCCAGCAA